rnacentral:rRNA from 1 species
GACGAACUGUCCUAACGUUGUUCGGAAUCACUGGGCUUAAAGGGCGCGUAGGCGGUCGACCAAGUCAGGGGUGAAAUCCUGCAGCUUAACUGUAGAAGUGCCUUUGAUACUGGUCGUCUGGAGGGAGAUAGGGGUGUGUGGAACUUCCAGUGGAGCGGUGAAAUGCGUUGAUAUUGGAAGGAAUGCCGGAGGCGAAAGCGACGCACUGGAUCUCUACUGACGCUGAGGCGCGAAAGCUAGGGGAGCAAACGGG